AUUGAACGCUGGCGGCAGGCCUAACACAUGCAAGUCGAACGAGUGGCGGACGGGUGAGUAAUGUCUGGGGAACUGCCCGAUGGAGGGGGAUAACUACUGGAAACGGUAGCUAAUACCGCAUACCAUCGGAUGUGCCCAGAUGGGAUUAGCUAGUAGGUGGGGUAACGGCUCACCUAGGCAACGAUCCCUAGCUGGUCUGAGAGGAUGACCGGCCAAACUGGAAUUAAGACAAGGCCCAGACUCUGAGGGGAGCCAGCAGUGGGGAAUAUUGCACAAGGGGCGCAAGCCGGAUGCAGCCAUGCAGCGUGUAGGAAGAAGGCCUUCGUGUUGUAAAGUAUUUGGAGCGAGGAGGCGUUACUCGCACAAGAAGCACCGGCUAACUCCGUGCCAGCAGACGCGGUAAUAC
rnacentral:rRNA from 1 species